GGGUUGUGAGGUUAAGCGACUAAGCGUACACGGUGGAUGCCCUGGCAGUCAGAGGCGAUGAAGGACGUGCUAAUCUGCGAUAAGCGUCGGUAAGGUGAUAUGAACCGUUAUAACCGGCGAUUUCCGAAUGGGGAAACCCAGUGUGAUUCGUUACACUAUCAUUAACUGAAUCCAUAGGUUAAUGAGGCGAACCGGGGGAACUGAAACAUCUAAGUACCCCGAGGAAAAGAAAUCAACCGAGAUUCCCCCAGUAGCGGCGAGCGAACGGGGAGCAGCCCAGAGCCUGAAUCAGUGUGUGUGUUAGUGGAAGCGUCUGGAAAGGCGUGCGAUACAGGGUGACAGCCCCGUACACAAAAAUGCACAUAUUGUGAGCUCGAUGAGUAGGGCGGGACACGUGGUAUCCUGUCUGAAUAUGGGGGGACCAUCCUCCAAGGCUAAAUACUCCUGACUGACCGAUAGUGAACCAGUACCGUGAGGGAAAGGCGAAAAGAACCCCGGCGAGGGGAGUGAAAAAGAACCUGAAACCGUGUACGUACAAGCAGUGGGAGCACGCUUAGGCGUGUGACUGCGUACCUUUUGUAUAAUGGGUCAGCGACUUAUAUUCUGUAGCAAGGUUAACCGAAUAGGGGAGCCGAAGGGAAACCGAGUCUUAACUGGGCGUUAAGUUGCAGGGUAUAGACCCGAAACCCGGUGAUCUAGCCAUGGGCAGGUUGAAGGUUGGGUAACACUAACUGGAGGACCGAACCGACUAAUGUUGAAAAAUUAGCGGAUGACUUGUGGCUGGGGGUGAAAGGCCAAUCAAACCGGGAGAUAGCUGGUUCUCCCCGAAAGCUAUUUAGGUAGCGCCUCGUGAAUUCAUCUCCGGGGGUAGAGCACUGUUUCGGCAAGGGGGUCAUCCCGACUUACCAACCCGA
rnacentral:rRNA from 1 species